rnacentral:rRNA from 1 species
UAGGGAAGCUUCCGCAAUGGACGCAAGUCUGACGGAGCAACGCCGCGUGAGUGAAGAAGGAUUUCGGUUCGUAAAACGCUGUUGUUAGAGAAGAACAGCGCAUAGAGUAACUGUUAUGCGUGUGACGGUAUCUAACCAGAAAGCCACGGCUAACUACGUGCCAGCAGCCGCGGUAAUACGUAGGUGGCAAGCGUUGUCCGGAUUUAUUGGGCGUAAAGCGAGCGCAGGCGGUCAAUUAAGUCUGAUGUGAAAGCCCCCGGCUCAACCGGGGAGGGUCAUUGGAAACUGGUUGACUUGAGUGCAGAAGAGGAGAGUGGAAUUCCAUGUGUAGCGGUGAAAUGCGUAGAUAUAUGGAGGAACACCAGUGGCGAAGGCGACUCUCUGGUCUGUAACUGACGCUGAGGCUCGAAAGCGUGGGUAGCAAACAGG